GCACAGUAAGGUGGCAGUGAAUUCAUCAAUACUUUCAAAGUCUAUUUUAUCUACAAGGACAAGUUUUAUUGUAUGUUUCCUUUUAAAUAAGUGCCACAGUCGCAGUAAGUGAAAACAUCCUGACACCACCCCAGCGGCCCCCCCAGCUCGUGGGCCUCCCCGCAGAGCGCGCGCCCGUGGGGGUAACCGGCGGAAAACUAGGGACGCGGGCACAGCCGCAGACUGGGCGUGGGGGGCACCGGAAUGGCCGAGCCUGGGACGCUGGGACCUCUGGCCGCCGCGGGGCGACCAGGCGGGCGGAGACGUCUCGCGCCCUCCCGGGCCGCGCGGCUCCAGGCGCAUUCCUGCACCCAGCUCCCGCGCGCCGCGCUGCGCUGCCUCCCCCGGACAGCUGAUUCAUUGGCUCGGCCGCCCAGACUGCCUGGCGCCGGCUGCGUGACGUCACCCAUUCACGGAGCCCGCCUCCCCCGCUCCGCUGGCGCCGGCCGGGCGGUCGCCCUGACAACGCAGACGCCAGCCCGCACAAUGACUUCCAGCUGGAGCAGCCCAGCCAGCCUGCGCGCUCACUCGCUUGCUUGCGCUGGGCUUCAGGGCGCCCGGGUGAGUUUUUUUCUCUCCCUCUCGUUUUUUUUUUUUUCCCAGGCUCUCGCGGGUUUCCCCUGCCAGGGAAUCCACUCGCUGUAGUUUUCUAGGGCUCUGGUCCCAGUCCUUUCUGAAGCGCGCUUGCAGGCUGUCUUCCUCAGUCGCCCUCUCCCUGGGUGCUGUUUUGCUGGGCAGCAUCCCAUGCUAGGCUCGGCAGACAUUCUGGCGGUUGGGUUCGGCCCUUACAGCGCUAACACCUGCAGAGUCGAGGCUCCUGCCAAAAGGCAGAAAGCAAAGGAGGAAAAAAUUCAUUGUCAUAAUAGCGAAAAUGAUAAACCUCAGCUGUUUAAGAGAAGAAUGUCUGAGUAGCUGUUGAUUAUCUCCCAUAAUCACAAAACAACUUUUUUUUAAAAAGAAUUUGCACUGUCUGUUAAAACGCGGUCAUUGUUUUGCUUUCAAAUCGAACUUCACGACAGUUAGCAACUUCAAGAACGCUUCCAAAUGGAUAAAUCUUUCCAGAAGAUUUCUUGCUUCAAAACAGCUGCAUUUUUGGAAGAAAGUCCACAACUGACAACUAAGCAAAACCCUCCUGGUGGAUAGCAUAAAUCUGCUUUGUUGAAGCUGCUCAUUUGUCUGAUCUAUGAGUCCAGAAGAUGCAAACUCCCUUCCCAGCUUAUGCAAAAAUACUUCCAGUAAAAACAAGCCCUUUGGCCCUUUUCUUUUGUCAGUCCAGAUUUCAGCAUGUUCUUCGCUUUGUUAUUCAUCAUUUUAUGUAUUUGGACCCAUCCUCAAACAGACUUUAAACCGUUUAAAGGCAAGGAGGGACUCUUUCGUAAACCUUUAAUCCCCUGGCCCAGCUGAGUAGAUGCACAGUGUCUUUUGAUGAUGGUGAUAUGGAAUGAUUAAUAACCACACAAGGCAUUCGGUUGGUCAAGUCACUGUUUAUUGGCUCAAAAUAAUCCUUGGUUUCUGUAUGUCUACAGCUCACUUCCUAAACAGUUAAAUCCGGAGAAGUCUAAUAGAUAAUAGUUGGUGAUCAUAAAUAUAAAUAACCAAUACAUUAGAAUGUGUAGUCAAAAUAGGAAUACUUGCUUUUCACUUACUUCCCACGGGUCGCUGCUGGUGGUAGUCAACACAAAUAAAAAUUUGAACUCAUUUUGUUAUUCAUCUAAAAUGAGAAACUCGGUGAAACAUUGAUUUUCUAAAAUUGCUGCAUAUUUAAAUGUGAUUAUAAUUGCUUUUUAGCAUUUUAAAAUUGUAACAUCGAUACCAAAUGCUUAAGAAUCUAAAGAAUAGUCUAUUGGGGCUGGCCUAUUUUGUGUAAAAUGGUCUGUAUCAUAAUGGAUGACUGAUUAUCCCAUCCACAUUAUUUGGAUUCACUUAAUACUAGGUUUUAACGUUAGGAGAAUAAAACCCUCAAGAAACCUAACAUAGAUUUGUAUAUUUAGUUUUCUCCUUCCUUAUCAUCUUCCACCAGACUUACAGGUGUUCCACCUGCUUGUAGUUUCGGUAAUAAUACCAGCUGGCGGUGGUUCCUAACUCUAGCUACACUUUAAAAUUACCUCGUGCAUUUAAAAAAAAAAUGCAGUUGUUUAGGUUCUUCCCCUAGAUAUUUUAAUUUACAAGGUUUGGGAUGUGGCCUGGGCACCGAUUUUUUUAACUUUUUAUUUGAAUGUAGACUUACAGGAAGUUGCAAAGAUAGUACAGAGAGGUCUGAUAGAGCCUCCACUGUUGGUUACAUCCCGCAUAGCUAGAGCACAAUAAUAAAGCCAGGACAUUGACACUGAGAUAAAAUGUGCCUGUGAUUCUGUGUCACCUUAUCCCUGAAGACUCUUGUAAUCAUUACCACAAUCAAAAUACAAACUAUUUCAACACCACGAAGAUCUCUCUCAUACAGUCCCUUUAUGGUCGUCCCUUUCUUUCCCCCACACCAUCCCUAACCCUUUGCAACCAUCAGUCUGUUCUCCAUUUCUAUAAUUUUGUCGUUUGGGGAAUGUUUUAUAAAUUGGUCCUCACAGCUUGUGACCUUCUAAGAUUAGCUCACCAUCCCCCCCACCCCCCCACCCCACCCAACUCAGCAGAAUGCCCUAGAGAUUUAUCCAAGUUAUUGCAGGUAUUUCUAGUUUGUUCCUUUCUGUUACUGAGUUCUACACUAUGGGUGUAACACAGUUUGUUUAAUCAUUCAGCAUUCACCUAUCAUACAUUUUGGUUCCUUCUUUUUUUGGGCGGGGGGAGUGCCUAUUACAAAUAAAACUGUCUUGAAAAAUUGCUUGCAGGUUUUUCUGUGGACCUAAAUUUUCAUUUCUCUGGGAUAAAUGUCCAGGAGUGUGAUUGCUGGGUCAUAUGGUGUCACAUGCCAUUCUUCUGAUUUUCAUGAAUAUCCUCUAAAAGGCAGCUAAGCACUCGCUGUCUUCUUCCUUUUGCCUCAUCAAGCACGGGGGACGCUGGAAGGAAGAGUAUUUGUACAGUUGAGCCGAAAUGCCUGUUCUAACAAAGAGAGCCUGGGUGGGACUGCCAAGAUGAAUAGACAUAAUCCUCGAUCUAACCACUUCACAGUUUAUCAUCGGAGUCAAGUUUGCAGAUAAACAAUUGCCAUGCAACUUUCAAGAGACGGGGUGUCAUCCUGUUGCUCAGGCUGGUCUCAAACUCCUGGCCCUAAGUGAUCCUCCUGCCUCAGCCUCUCAAAGUGCUGGGAUUACGGGUGUGAACCUAAUCGCAGAGAAAAUGGUGCCUGAGAUGAGCAAGGUCAGCAGACAAGAAGUGAGGUCAAUGUCAGGUUUCCAUGCCAGCAGCGGGAACUCUGGAUACAGUGGAGAGUCACAGCUGGUCAAACCCUGAACCGCUUGCUCCUUGAAAUGGCCAGAGAGGCCCAUCCCAGAGCCAUCUCAUCAUCUCUCCUCAGACAGGAAACCGAGAAGGAAAACAAUCAGCUCUGUUCUCUCUGGGCCGAGGGAGUGAGCUGUAAUGAGGGAGCACAGGAACGCAUUGGGCGCCCUCAGACCUGAACACACAGGUUAGCACCACCUGCCUGGCUGACCUGGCUCACAGGUGCGCGGUUGCCAGUUGAGAAUAACUCAUCCAGGGUUGUUGAAUGGUGGAGGAUCUUCCAAAAUCAGCAGCUAGGAGGUCGAGAACCCUUCAUGCCAUACUAAGAAGUUUCAUGCUAGGCAAAGAAGAGUGACAAGGUAUUUCAACAGGUGAAUGAUAGGUACACAAAGAAGGAUUACCACAGGAAAUCCAGAGAGGCUUUAGAAGACGAGCUUGCGUUGAGAUAGAAGCCGGAAGCCCACUUAGCCAACUGCCUCCAUGGGACUUGGCAUGAGGCAGGCUUAUGACAGUAAAUGCUACACUGCCCUCAGUGAAAAAGAGAAUUUGGCAUUCAUUCUUCUGAACCCGCCAUCCCUCAGCCUUGGCGCCUGGGAAUUCUGCGAAUCGUUGCCUGUGGCAGUGACACUGAUUUGUAUCUGGGUAUGAACUUAAAUGAAAACAUGAAUUGAACUCAUUACUUGAGGAAGGAAACACUGCCAAAUUUAACAGGAUGAAAUUCCAGCAGGGUGUAAGGUUUUAUGGGGCUACAGUGGAAUAUCUCAUAGAAAGGUUUCCAGUUCAUAAAACACUUUCAAAACAUGCUCGGCCCUUUUAAGUUGAAGGGACAUUAUCAUUUCUAUCUAUGGCAUUUCUCUGCAAAUUGAACUCAAAUAUCCUUUGGGCUGACUACACAGAGAACAGAAGAAAGAAGUGGAAGAAACUUGGACUGAAGAUUGCCUCCCUGAAAAGGUUUUCUUCAGGCAGAAUUAGGUGAGAACAAAUGACAUCAGAAAGUAGCAUGUCAGUAUACUGCUGCCAGCUCCAUAUGGUUCAGCUUGUUUUCACAGGUAUUUAAUUAAUUCCACAAACAUAUAUUGAGUAUCAGAUGUGGGAUCCUGUUCAACACAUUUGGGGUACAGUAGUCAAUUAGUCUACUCUCAUGGCACAUACAUGCUGGAAGGAGAGAAAAACAAUAAAUAAAUGAACAAAAGAUGCAGUAUCAGGUAGUGAUCAUUGCUAUCAAGAAAAAUAAAGCAAGAGAAAAUGGGAUAGAAGGUGUCAGGGGUGCGGGGUGACAUUUUACAUAGUGUGUUUGGCAAAGGCAAUUCUCAGGUGGUGACAUUUGAACAGAAGCUUGAAUGAAGUGACCUACAUGUUGAAUCCAGAAAGCUAAUUUUAUAUAUAUAUAUUUUUGGAAGGGGGCAGGAGAUAAUAAGCUAGUAAAAGGGUUGGGAAAUUAUUUUGAUUCAAGGAUGCCCAGUUUAAAAAACUGUAAGAGACAGCCCCUCUUUUUCUCCCAGUAUAGCGCUUUCGGUGGCCAUUUGAAUAGAGCUCUGCAUGUUUCCUUGGGAUUUUCUGGUGUUCAUGGCAUAACAACCAGCCAGCAGUCUUCUGGCUGGACCACGUUUUACUUGCUAGCAAGGAGCAGAAGCUGUGGAAAUUGGCAUGUAGAGAUGUAAAAGGAUUUUAUACUUUUCAGCCUGGGCAGAAAAUUAUAGAGAAAAGUAGGUGGGAGUCAGAAAAACAUGAAAUGAGAAAGAAAAGCAUAAUCUGAGUGAGUUCUCUCUCUUUUUUUUUUUGUUUUCUAUGUUUAUCUUUCCACAGCUUUUUCACUGGCUCUGUUAAAAAGCAAAUAUCACUGCAAACUUCAUUUCAUUUUCUCUCAACAGAUGAAAUAAAGCUUGUUAAAAUGUUUUUCCCUUCUGUCAGGUGCAAACUCCAUGUUAGCAGGUUUGAAAACUUUCACAUGUUCAGAUAGCAAUGGAGGUUUUAACUUGGCCAACAUCAACAAACAAACCAUGAGUCCCUCACGUGUGCAAUGCUUGCAUAGAAUGAAAUUGAGUAUGAGCAUGUUUGCCAACCCUACUACAAAUGGUUUAUUUAGAAUAGUAGAAUGUGAAAAAUACAGAUUUAUUUUUAAUAGCUAGUACCAUGAUGAUUAUUGAUUUUUUCUUCCAGAUUAUUAAUUUAAAUAGCAAAAUUAUGCUACAUGUUUAAAAUAUGUCUGUAUCCUGAAAGUACUUAUUGUAAGCUUAAGCCCAGUCUUAUUUCUAAAAAGAUAAUUUGUAGGAGGUAUAAUUUUCAUUUGUAUUCAUGUAUAUUAAUAUAUUUUUUGGUGUUACACUGUUGCAUGAGGAUAGCUGUAAGGUCAGGAUAUUUAGGAAACCUCUGAAUUGAACAUUGAGCUUGUGGAUCUAAUAUUUAAGUAACUGGUUUCUGUCUACGUACUCUUUUCUCUUCCGUGGUAAGCCCUGCAGGCAAGCUCACUUCUCUAUGUUCUCAGUUGUAAAUGAGGAAAGUAGGACGAGGUAUGGAGCUGGAGGGUAAAUGGCAGAAUAGAAGACAGAGUGCCAUUCUGCGUAAGAGCACCACCUUUUGUGUUUGGCAGGCUUGGUUUUAGUCCUGAUUUUUCCAGGUCCAAGUAUAAUCUGGAGCAUUUCUCAAAUUCACUAAACCUCAGUUUCACCUUCUGUAAAACGAAGCUAUUUCAUUGAGUUAUUUUGGGUUACAUAUGUAAAAUUUACAGCCAAAUACUUAACACUCAAGUCUGUCAAGAAACAAUUCCAAAUAUUUUAUAAUAAAUAUAUAAAAAACUUUCACAAUUCAUGGAAUUUACUUCUUGAUUAGUUGCCAUGGUCUAUGGUUAUAAUGAAAUGUACUCUUGGCAGUCCUGGAUAGAGAAGCUCUUGAACCACAACCACAACCAUUACCUUGGAGAUGUCGAAACUGCCCUUUUCCCCGAGACCAUCAUUAGUGCUUUCCACGAACCUGGAUGAUAACCUCACGUUCACCUUUCAAAGCCAAGAAUAACAAGAGAAUUGAAUGUAAUGAUAAUGUUUCUUCUUAAAAUUAUGCCAAAUCCGACUUAGUUGAUGUGAGUUCUGCUUUUUAAAUUAAAGAAAGUACAAAGUCUAUUUUGUGGGUUGGCUAAAAGGGCACUGGUUAAAGAAAACAAUGGUUAUUUGUUUCUGAUGUACAAAUGAUCCACACAGACACAUCUUUAGAUGAAACCCCAAAUUCUUUACUGGUUGGGUUCUACAAAGAGUGACAGUAGUAAUUUGGUGAAGCAGCAGGGGGCAGAGGACUCUUGGUGGUAAGUUAACUUGAUUCUACUUUGAAAACUCUG
rnacentral:lncRNA from 10 species